AUUGAACGCUGGCGGCAGGCCUAACACAUGCAAGUCGAACGAGUGGCGGACGGGUGAGGAAUGUCUGGGAAACUGCCCGAUGGAGGGGGAUAACUACUGGAAAAGGUCGCUAAUACCGCAUACCAUCGGAGGUGCCCAGAUGGGAUUAGCUAGUAGGUGGGGUAACGGCUCACCUAGGCGACGAUCCCUAGCUGGUCUGAGAGGAGGACCAGCCACACUGUGCCUGAGACACGGUCCAGACUCCUACGGGAUGCAGCAGUGGGGAAUAUUGCACAAUGGGCGCAAGCCUGAUUCAGCCAGGCCGCGUGUAUGAUGAAGGCCUUCGGUUUGUAAAGUACUUUCACCAAGUAGGCGUUACUCGCAGAGGAAGCACCGUCUAACUCCGUGCCAGCAGCCGCGGUAAUAC
rnacentral:rRNA from 1 species